ACUCAAGCUAGCGAACAAUUGUAGCGAACAAUUAGCCAGCGAACAAUUAGGAGGUAUAACUAAAAACCACAAUUUCACAUAAGACAAUCACGUUUUUUUCGAGCUAGCGAACAAUUACAGAGACCUAGCGGACAAUUAUAAGAAUAUUCAAAAUAUUAAACAAAAACGAAUAAAAAAAAUUAAAACAAAAGGGAUACCAUAAAGAUUUUGAGCAAUUUAUAGAGAUUGUGACAGGCAACGACUGUAAAGGUAACAUAGAGGAGACAUUAUCGUAUCUAAUAAGACAAACUCCAGAAUGGUUUAUGUUUAAAAAUCUGAAGUUAAGUUUAAAAAACUGAAAUUGUAAAAACGAAAAGGGAGUAGGGGGCAUACAUUAAGUUGAUUUUUGACCCAUUUAUAGAGAUUGUGACGGUACACGACUGCAUAGGUGAUGCAGCUGAGACAUAAGCGUAUCUAUUAAGACGAACUCCAGGAUGGUUUAUGUUAAAAAUCUGAAGAAAGGUUGAAAAAAUUGUAAUUAAAAACAAAAAGGGGGAUACCUUAAGUUGAUUGUCGACCCAUUCAUAGAGACUGUGACGGGCAACGACUGCCUAUAGGUGAUGUAGAGGAGACAUUGGCGCAACGUUUAGAAAAAACACCAGAGUAGUUUAUGUUCGAAAAUAUGAAUUUACGGUUAAAAAACUGAAAUUGUGAAAUUGACAAAAUGAGAUUAGGGGGGAAGGCCAAUUUAAGUUAAUUUUGAAAUAAUUUCAUGAGAUUGUGACGGGCAACGACUAUAAAGGUGUUGUAGAGGAGACAUUGGCGCAUCGUUUAAGAAAAUCUUUUAAAAAAAGGUUAAUUUUGGACCAAUUUCAAGAGAUUUUGACGGGCAACGACUAUAUAGGUGUUGUAGAGGAGACAAUGGCGCAUCGUUUAAUAAAAUCUCCAGAGUGGUUUAUGUUCGAAAAUCUGAAGUAACGGUUAAAAAACUGAAAUUGUGAAAUUGACUAAAUGAGAUUGGGGGCUAGGCCAAUUUAAGUUAAUUUUGGACCAAUUUCAAGAGAUUUUGACGGGCAACGACUAUAUAGGUGUUGUAGAGGAGACAAUGGCGCAUCGUUUAAGAAAAUCUCCAGAGUGGUUUAUGUUCGAAAAUCUCAAGUAACGGUUAAAAAACUGAAACUUUUAUUGUAAAAUUGACAAAAUGAGAUAAGGGGGUAGGCCAAUUCAAGUUAAUUUUGGACUAAUUUGAAGAGAUUGUGACGAUCAACGACUAUAUGAGUGUUGUAGAGGAGACAAUGGCGCAUCGUUUAAGAAAAUCUCCAGAGUGGUUUAUGUUCGAAAAUCUGAAGUAACGGUUAAAAAACUGAAAUUGUGAAAUUGAGAAAAUGAGAUUGGGGGGUAGGCCAAUUUAAGUUAAUUUUGGACCAAUUUCAAGAGAUUUUGACGGGCAACGACUAUAUAGGUGUUGUAGAGGAGACAAUGGCGCAUCGUUUAAGAAAAUCUCCAGAGUGGUUUAUGUUCGAAAAUCUCAAGUAACGGUUAAAAAACUGAAACUUUUAUUGUAAAAUUGACAAAAUGAGAUAAGGGGGUAGGCCAAUUCAAGUUAAUUUUGGACUAAUUUGAAGAGAUUGUGACGAUCAACGACUAUAUGAGUGUUGUAGAGGAGACAAUGGCGCAUCGUUUAAGAAAAUCUCCAGAGUGGUUUAUGUUCGAAAAUCUGAAGUAACGGUUAAAAAACUGAAAUUGUGAAAUUGAGAAAAUGAGAUUGGGGGGUAGGCCAAUUUAAGUUAAUUUUGGACCAAUUUCAAGAGAUUUUGACGGGCAACGACUAUAUAGGUGUUGUAGAGGAGACAAUGGCGCAUCGUUUAAGAAAAUCUCCAGAGUGGUUUAUGUUCGAAAAUCUCAAGUAACGGUUAAAAAUCUGAAAUUGUGAUUGACAAAAUGAGAUUGGGGGGGGGGGUAGGCCAAUUUAAGUUAAUUUUGGACCUAUUUCAAGAGAUUUUGACGGGCAACGACUAUAUAGGUGUUGUAGAGGAGACAAUGGCGCAUCGUUUAAGAAAAUCUCCAGAGUGGUUUAUGUUCGAAAAUCUGAAGUUCCGGUUAAAAAACUGAAAUUGUGAAAUUGACUAAAUGAGAUUGGGGGUUAGGCCAAUUUAAGUUAAUUUUCGACCAAUUUCAAGAGAUUGUGACGGGCAACGACUAUAUAGGUGUUGUAGAAGAGACAUUGGCGCAUCGUUUAGGAAAAUCUCCAGAGUGGUUUAUGUUCGAAAAUCUGAAGUUACGGUUAAAAAACUGAAACUUUUAUUGUGAAAUUGACAAAAUGAGAUUAGGGGGGUAGGGCAAUUCAAGUUAAAUUUGGACUAAUUUGAAGAGAUUGUGACGGGCAACGACUAUAUGAGUGUUGUAGAGGAGACAAUGGCGCAUCGUUUAAGAAAAUCUCCAGAGUGGUUUAUGUUCGAAAAUCUGAGGUUACGGUUAAAAAACUGAAACUUUUAUUGUGAAAUUGACAAAAUGAGAUUAGGGGGGUAGGCCAAUUUAAGUUAAUUUUGGACCAAUUUCAAGAGAUUGUGACGGGCAACGAUUACAUAGGUGUUGUAGAGGAGACAUUUGCGCAUCGUUUAAGAAAAUCUCCAGAGUGGUUUAUGUUCGAAAAUCUGAAGUUCCGGUUAAAAAACUGAAAUUGUGAAAUUGACAAAAUGAGAUUAGGGGGGUAGGCCAAUUUAAGUUAAUUUUGGACCAAUUUCAAGAGAUUUUGACGGGCAACGACUAUAUAGGUGUUGUAGAGGAGACAAUGGCGCAUCGUUUAAGAAAAUCUCCAGAGUGGUUUAUGUUCGAAAAUCUCAAGUAACGGUUAAAAAACUGAAACUUUUAUUGUAAAAUUGACAAAAUGAGAUAAGGGGGUAGGCCAAUUCAAGUUAAUUUUGGACUAAUUUGAAGAGAUUGUGACGAUCAACGACUAUAUGAGUGUUGUAGAGGAGACAAUGGCGCAUCGUUUAAGAAAAUCUCCAGAGUGGUUUAUGUUCGAAAAUCUGAAGUAACGGUUAAAAAACUGAAAUUGUGAAAUUGAGAAAAUGAGAUUGGGGGGUAGGUCAAUUUAAGUUAAUUUUGGACCAAUUUCAAGAGAUUUUGACGGGCAACGACUAUAUAGGUGUUGUAGAGGAGACAAUGGCGCAUCGUUUAAGAAAAUUUUCAGAGUGGUUUAUGUUCGAAAAUCUGAAGUAACGGUUAAAAAACUGAAAUUGUGAAAUUGACUAAAUGAGAUUGGGGGUUAGGCCAAUUUAAGUUAAUUUUCGACCAAUUUCAAGAGAUUGUGACGGGCAACGACUAUAUAGGUGUUGUAGAAGAGACAUUGGCGCAUCGUUUAGGAAAAUCUCCAGAGUGGUUUAUGUUCGAAAAUCUGAAGUUACGGUUAAAAAACUGAAACUUUUAUUGUGAAAUUGACAAAAUGAGAUUAGGGGGUAGGGCAAUUCAAGUUAAAUUUGGACUAAUUUGAAGAGAUUGUGACGGGCAACGACUAUAUGAGUGUUGUAGAGGAGACAAUGGAGCAUCGUUUAAGAAAAUCUCCAGAGUGGUUUAUGUUCGAAAAUCUGAGGUUACGGUUAAAAAACUGAAAAUUUUAUUGUGAAAUUGACAAAAUGAGAUUAGGAGGGUAGGGCAAUUCAAGUUAAUUUUGGACCUAUUUCAAGAGAUUGUGACGGGCAACGACUAUAUAGGUGUUGUAGAGGAAACAAUGGCGCAUCGUUUAAGAAAAUCUCCGGAGUGGUUUAUGUUCGAAAAUCUGAAGUUACGGUUAAAAAACUGAAAAUGUUAUUGUGAAAUUGACAAAAUGAGAUUAAAGGGGUAGGGCACUAAAAGAAAAAAAUGGACCAUUUUAAAGAGAUUAUGACGGGCAACGACUAUAUAGGUGUUGUAGAGGAGACAUUGGCGCAUCGUUUAAGAAAAUCUCCAGAGUGGUUUAUGUUCGAAAAUCUGAAGUUACGGUUAAAAAACUGAAAUUUUUUUUGUGAAAUUAACAAAAUGAGAUAUGGGGGUAGGGCACUAAAAGAAAAAUUUGGACCAUUUUAAAGAGAUUGUGACGGGCAACGAUUACAUAGGUGUUGUAGAGGAGACAUUGGCGCAUCGUUUAAGAAAAUCUCCAGAGUGGUUUAUGUUCGAAAAUCUGAAGUUCCGGUUAAAAAAACUGAAAUUGUGAAAUUGACAAAAUGAGAUUAGGGGGGUAGGCCAAUUUAAGAUAAUUUUGGUCCAAUUUCAAGAGAUUGUGACGGGCAACGACUAUAAAGGUGUUGUAGAGGAGACAUUGGCGCAUCGUUUUAGAAAAUCUCCAGAGUGGUUUAUGUUCGAAAAUCUGAAGUUACGGUUAAAAAACUGAAAUUGUGAAAUUGACAAAAUGAGAUUAGGGGGGUAGGCCAAUUUAAGUUAAUUUUGGACCAAUUUCAAGAGAUUGUGACGGGCAACGAUUACAUAGGUAUUGUAGAGGAGACAUUGGCGCAUCGUUUUAGAAAAUCUCCAGAGUGGUUUAUGUUCGAAAAUCUGAAGUUACGGUUAAAAAAAUGAAAAUUUUAUUGUGAAAUUGACAAAAUGAAAUUAGGGGGGUAGGGCACUAAAAGAAAAAUUUGGACCAUUUUAAAGAGAUUGUGACGGGCAACGACUAUAAAGGUGUUGUAGAGGAGACAUUGGCGCAUCGUUUAAGAAAAUCUCCUGAGUGGUUUAUGUCGAAAAUCUGAAGUUACGGUUAAAAAACUGAAAAUUUUAUUGUGAAAUUGACAGAAUGAGAUUAAGGGGGUAGGGCACUAAAAGAAAAAUUUGGACCAUUUUAAAGAGAUUGUGACGGGCAACGACUAUAUAGGUGUUGUAGAGGAGACAAUGGCGCAUCGUUUAGGAAAAUCUCCAGAGUGGUUUAUGUUCGAAAAUCUGAAGUUACGGUUAAAAAACUGAAAAUUUUAUUGUGAAAUUGACAAAAUGAGAUUGGGGGGUAGGGCAAUUCAAGUUAAUUUUGGACCUAUUUCAAGAGAUUGUGACGGGCAACGACUAUAUAGGUGUUGUAGAGGAAACAAUGGCGCAUCGUUUAAGAAAAUCUCCAGAGUGGUUUAUGUUCGAAAAUCUGAAGUUACGGUUAAAAAACUGAAAAUUUUAUUGUGAAAUUAACAAAAUGAGAUUAGGGGGUAGGGCACUAAAAGAAAAAUUUGGACCAUUUUAAAGAGAUUGUGACGGGCAACGAUUACAUAGGUGUUGUAGAGGAGACAUUGGCGCAUCGUUUAAGAAAAUCUCCAGAGUGGUUUAUGUUCGAAAAUCUGAAGUUCCGGUUAAAAAAACUGAAAUUGUGAAAUUGACAAAAUGAGAUUAGGGGGGUAGGCCAAUUUAAGUUAAUUUUGGACCAAUUUCAAGAGAUUGUGACGGGCAACGAUUACAUAGGUAUUGUAGAGGAGACAUUGGCGCAUCGUUUAAGAAAAUCUCCAGAGUGGUUUAUGUUCGAUAAUCUGAAGUUCCGGUUAAAAAACUGAAAUUAUGAAAUUGACAAAAUGAGAUUUGGGGUUAGGCCAAUUUAAGUUAAUUUUGGACCAAUUUUAAGAGAUUGUGACGGGCAACGACUAUAUAGGUGUUGUAGAGGAGACAUUGGCGCAUCGUUUAGGAAAAUCUCCAGAGUGGUUUAUGUUCGAAAAUCUGAAGUUACGGUUAAAAAACUGAAAAUUUUAUUGUGAAAUUGACAAAAUGUGAUUUGGGGGGUAGGGGAUUUCAAGUUAAUUUUGGACCUAUUUCAAGAGAUUGUGACGGGCAACGACUAUAUAGGUGUUGUAGAGGAAACAAAGGCGCAUUGUUUAAGAAAAUCUCCAGAGUGGUUUAUGUUCGAAAAUCUGAAGUUACGGUUAAAAAACUGAAAAUUUUAUUGUGAAAUUGACAAAAUGAGAUUAGGGGGGUAGGGCACUAAAAGAAAAAUUUGAACAAUUUUAAAGAGAUUGUGACGGGCAACGACUAUAUAGGUGUUGAAGAGGAGACAUUGGCGCAUCGUUUAAGAAAAUCUCCAGAGUAGUUUAUGUUCGAAAAUCUGAAGUUACGGUUAAAAAACUGAAAUUGUGAAAUUGACAAAAUGAGAUUAGAGGGCAGGCCAAUUUAAGUUUAUUUUGGACCAAUUUAAGAGAUUGUGACGGGCAACGACUAUAUAGGUGUUGUAAAGGAGACAUUGGCGCAUCGUUUAAGAAAAUCUCCAGAGUGGUUUAUGUUCGAAAAUCUGAAGUUACGGUUAAAAAACUGAAAAUGUUAUUGUGAAAUUGACAAAAUGAGAUUAGGGGGGUAGGGCACUAAAAGAAAAAUGUGGACCAUUUUAAAGAGAUUGUGACGGGCAACGACUAUAUAGGUGUUGUAGAGGAGACAAUGGCGUAUCGUUUAAGAAAAUCUCCAGAGUGGUUUAUGUUCGAAAAUCUGAAGUUACGGUUAAAAAUCUGAAAUAGUGAAAUUGACAAAAACGGA